AGGGGGAUAACAUCCGGAAACGGGUGCUAAUACCGCAUAGUUUUCUUGAUCGCAUGAUUGAGAAAGGAAAGACGGCCUUUGUGCUGUCGCUUAUGGAUGGACCCGCGGCGUAUUAGUUAGUUGGUGAGUAACGGCUCACCAGACGAUGAUACGUAGCCGACCUGAGAGGGUGAUCGGCCACAUUGGGACUGAGACACGGCCCAAACUCCUACGGGAGGCAGCAGUAGGGAAUCUUCCGCAAUGGACGAAAGUCUGACGGAGCAACGCCGCGUGAGUGAAGAAAAGGUUUUCGGAUCGUAAAACUCUGUUGUCAGAGAAGAACAAGUUGGAGAGUAACUGCUCCAGCCUUGACGGUAUCUGACCAGAAAGCCACGGCUAACUACGUGCCAGCCGCAGC
rnacentral:rRNA from 1 species